rnacentral:rRNA from 1 species
AUUACUCCUACGGGAGGCAGCAGUGGGGAAUUUUGGACAAUGGGCGAAAGCCUGAUCCAGCCAUGCCGCGUGAGUGAUGAAGGCCUUCGGGUUGUAAAGCUCUUUUAGUCGGAAAGAAAAAGUCAUGACAAAUAAUCAUGAUUUAUGACGGUACCGACAGAAAAAGCACCGGCUAACUACGUGCCAGCAGCCGCGGUAAUA